CUCAGGAUGAACGCUAGCGGCAGGCUUAACACAUGCAAGUCGAGGGGUAUGGUUCUUCGGAACCAGAGACCGGCGCACGGGUGCGUAACGCGUAUGCAAUCUACCUUUCACAGAGGGAUAGCCCAGAGAAAUUUGGAUUAAUACCUCAUAGUAUAUUGGUCUCGCAUGAGAUUAUUAUUAAAGAUUUAUCGGUGAAAGAUGAGCAUGCGUCCCAUUAGUUAGUUGGUAAGGUAACGGCUUACCAAGACUACGAUGGGUAGGGGUCCUGAGAGGGAGAUCCCCCACACUGGUACUGAGACACGGACCAGACUCCUACGGGAGGCAGCAGUGAGGAAUAUUGGACAAUGGGCGCAAGCCUGAUCCAGCCAUGCCGCGUGCAGGAUGACGGUCCUAUGGAUUGUAAACUGCUUUUAUACGAGAAGAAACACUAGUUCGUGAACUAGCUUGACGGUAUCGUAAGAAUAAGGAUCGGCUAACUCCGUGCCAGCAGCCGCGGUAAUACGGAGGAUCCAAGCGUUAUCCGGAAUCAUUGGGUUUAAAGGGUCCGUAGGCGGUCAGAUAAGUCAGUGGUGAAAGCCCAUCGCUCAACGGUGGAACGGCCAUUGAUACUGUCUGACUUGAAUUAUUAGGAAGUAACUAGAAUAUGUAGUGUAGCGGUGAAAUGCUUAGAGAUUACAUGGAAUACCAAUUGCGAAGGCAGGUUACUACUAAUAUAUUGACGCUGAUGGACGAAAGCGUGGGUAGCGAACAGGAUUAGAUACCCUGGUAGUCCACGCCGUAAACGAUGGAUACUAGCUGUUGGGAGCAAUCUCAGUGGCUAAGCGAAAGUGAUA
rnacentral:rRNA from 1 species